GUUGGGUCAACCUGCAAGGAGUGUACGUGCCGACGAUGUCGCGGCUGCGGAACCUGGGGCCCGACCAGUGCUGCCGACGUAACCGCCAACCGACACACUGCAGGGCAGGCCGGGUGUCCCAGUCGGCCCAGCGGCCACGCAGCCCCGGCCACCCGAGCAGGUGCGUGCCGACGGCCGCCUGCAUCUCCCUGGCACCCCCGAGACGGCGGGCGGGCACCAGGAGGGACUCCUGCCUCCGGGGAAGAUGCAGACAGACCCCAAGAGCGUGGGACUCUCGCCGGGCAGCCCGCCCCCACCCGCACCCUCCCGCUGCCCGUGGGGCCCCGAACUUGGGGAGGAAACACACGCAGGACCCCGCUUUCCACUGUGGGCUUGGGUGGCUCCUCCUGGCUGACCUCCUGCCCCAGGUCUUGUUCGGACUCCGCGUCACUCCUCACGACAAGUCAGCCUCCAUGUCAUCAUAGGAGCCGUGCAACCCACCGCCAGGGCCGCAGGGAGCUCGGCGGGUGUGAAGCCCCCGCGUGUCCCUCAACCAGGCCUGGGCGCGGCGGUGAGGGGGUCCCCAGGGACAGUGUGCUGGGCCUGGUGUCCCCGGGGCGUGCCACCCUGUGGCCCCGAAACCUCCUGCCCUCCCGCCCUGGGGGGGCCUGCAGGAUUCACAGGCCCUCGUCGCCCAGAAGACGAGCCCACAGCCCCCGGGGCCCCAGAGGCCUUCCUGUGCCCAUGGCCAGCGUCCGGCCCGGCCCCCAGCCCACCCACAGGUGCAGCCUGGAGCCGGCCCGCUCCGCCCCUGCCCCGCGCCCACGCGUCCCAGCCUCACUCAGCCGCCACCGCGCCACAGUGGCCACCGCGGCCCUGGGCACCGGAAAGGGAACGAGCGCUCCUGCACCGCUCGUGUCUCCCUGUGUCCUGUGCAGCCCGGGGCUUCGGCCUCUGCUCGCAGCAGCCUCAGCUCGGGGCAACCCUGCACAUCCCCCGGCUCCCAGGGACGCCCUGGAGCUGCCGCCCGUCCUCCCCCUCCACAUCGCCCCCCCACCCACCCCCCCCCCCGUCCUCCCUCCAGAAGCGAGGACCCGCUUCAGGGUGCAGCCUGAGCCUCCGGCCACUGGCCACCUGGAGGCAGGCACAACCACCGCCACCCCCCACACCUGCCACAGGUGGCAGCCCAGCCCCGGAGCCCCCCUCCAGGCCACGACCCGUGUGUCAUCCCCCUGA
rnacentral:lncRNA from 1 species